rnacentral:rRNA from 1 species
ACUCCUACGGGGAGGCAGCAGUGAGGAAUAUUGGUCAAUGGAGGGAACUCUGAACCAGCCAUCCCGCGUGUAGGAAGACGGCCUUAUGGGUUGUAAACUACUUUUAUACAGGAAGAAACGUACCCUCGUGAGGGUGCCUGACGGUACUGUAGGAAUAAGCACCGGCUAACUCCGUGCCAGCAGCCGCGGUAAUACGGAGGGGUGCGAGCGUUAUCCGGAUUUAUUGGGGUUUAAAGGGUCCGUAGGCGGAUUAAUAAGUCAGUGGUGAAAUCCCAUCGCUUAACGAUGGAACUGCCAUUGAUACUGUUAGUCUUGAAUGAGGGUGCAGUGGUUGGAAUGUGUAGUGUAGCGGUGAAAUGCAUAGAUAUUACACAGAACACCGAUUGCGAAGGCAGAUCACUAACCCUAAAUUGACGCUGAGGGACGAAAGCGUGGGGAGCGAACAGGAUUAGAUACCCUGGUAGCGACUGA